GUCGCUGUCGAUUAGUGGUUAAAUCGCGUCGUUGUGGCCGACGAGCCCCAGGUUCAAUUCCUGGCAGCGACA
rnacentral:tRNA from 1 species